rnacentral:tRNA from 1 species
AUUUUAAUAGCUUAAAUUUUUAGAGCUUUGUAUUGAAGAUACAAUGGUGAAUAUUUCUUAAAAUA